GUGCAGCAGGCGCGAAACUUUACAAUGUGCGAAAGCACGAUAAGGGAACUCUGAGUGCCUCCUAAGGAGGCUGUUCAGGUGUCUAAAAAGCACCUGGAGUAAGGGCUGGGUAAGACCGGUGCCAGCCGCCGCGGUAACACCGGCAGCCCAGGUGGUAGCCACUUUUAUUGGGUCUAAAGCGUCCGUAGCCGGUUGAGUAAGUUCCUUGGGAAAUUUGGCUGCUCAACAGUCAAGCUUCCAGGGAAUACUGCUCGACUUGGGACUGGGAGAGGUCAGAGGUACUCCAGGGGUAGGGGUGAAAUCCAUUAAUCCCUGGGGGACCACCGGUAGCGAAGGCGUCUGACCAGACCAGGUCCGACGGUGAGGGACGAAGGCUAGGGUCGCGAACCGGAUU
rnacentral:rRNA from 1 species